rnacentral:rRNA from 1 species
CAGCCCCGCGGGAAUACGAAGGGUGCAAGCGUUAAUCGGAAUUACUGGGCGUAAAGCGUGCGUAGGCGGUGAGUUAAGUCUGCUGUGAAAUCCCCGGGCUCAACCUGGGAAUGGCAGUGGAUACUGGCUCGCUAGAGUGUGUCAGAGGAUGGUGGAAUUCCCGGUGUAGCGGUGAAAUGCGUAGAGAUCGGGAGGAACAUCAGUGGCGAAGGCGGCCAUCUGGGACAACACUGACGCUGAGGCACGAAAGCGUGGGGAGCAAACAGGAUUAGAGACCCGUGUAGUCCCUGUCUCUUAUACA